GGGGCAUUAGCUCAGCUUGGGAGAGCGCUAGACUGGCAGUCUAGAGGUCAGGGGUUCGAGCCCCCUAUGCUCCACCA
rnacentral:tRNA from 1 species